CACGUGGGUAAUCUGCCCUUGGGUUUGGAAUAACGUCUGGAAACGGGCGCUAAUACCGGAUAAGACCACGACGUCUUCGGACGAUGUGGAAAAGGUGGCCUCUUCAUGAAAGCUAUCGCCUGAGGAUGAGCCCGCGGCCCAUUAGCUUGUUGGUGGGGUAAAAGCCUACCAAGGCUUCGAUGGGUAGCUGAUCUGAGAGGAUGAUCAGCCACACUGGGACUGAGACACGGCCCAGACUCCUACGGGAGGCAGCAGUCGGGAAUCUUGUACAAUGGGCGAAAGCCUGAUACAGCAACGCCG
rnacentral:rRNA from 1 species